rnacentral:rRNA from 1 species
UACGUAGGGACCGAGCGUUGUCCGGAUUCAUUGGGCGUAAAGAGCUCGUAGGCGGCUGCUCAAGUCGAAUGUGAAAACUCGAGGCUCAACCUCGAGCCUGCAUUCGAUACUGGGCGGCUAGAGUCUGGUAGGGGGAUCUGGAAUUCCUGGUGUAGCGGUGGAAUGCGCAGAUAUCAGGAGGAACACCGGUGGCGAAGGCGGAUCUCUGGGCCUUACCUGACGCUCAGGUGCGAAAGCUAGGGGAGCGAACAGG